AGAGUUUGAUCCUGGCUCAGAUUGAACGCUGGCGGCAGGCCUAACACAUGCAAGUCGAACGUGAAAGUGGCUUCGGCCAUGAGUAAAGUGGCAGACGGGUGAGUAACACGUGGGUAACCUAUCCCUUGGCGGGGAAUAACCACUCGAAAGGGUGGCUAAUACCGCAUAAGACCACGUCCCUGAUGGGAUGAGGUAAAAGAUUUAUCACCAGGGGAGGGGCCCGCGGCAGAUUAGCUAGUUGGUGAGGUAAUGGCUCACCAAGGCAACGAUCUGUAGCUGGUCUGAGAGGAUGAUCAGCCACACUGGUACUUAGAUACGGACCAGACUCCUACGGGAGGCAGCAGUGGGGAAUAUUGCGCAAUGGAGGAAACUCUGACCCAGCGACGCCGCGUGCGGGAUGAAGGCCUUCGGGUUGUAAACCGCUUUCAGCAGGGAAGAAGCGAAAGUGACGGUACCUGCAGAAGAAGCACCGGCUAACUAUGUGCCAGCAGCCGCGGUAAUACAUAGGGUGCAAGCGUUGUCCGGAAUUAUUGGGCGUAAAGAGCUCGUAGGUGGUUCGUCACGUCGGAUGUGAAACUCUGGGGCUUAACCCCAGACCUGCAUUCGAUACGGGCGAGCUAGAGUGUGGUAGGGGAGACUGGAAUUCCUGGUGUAGCGGUGGAAUGCGCAGAUAUCAGGAGGAACACCAAUGGCGAAGGCAGGUCUCUGGGCCAUUACUGACACUGAGGAGCGAAAGCGUGGGGAGCGAACAGGAUUAGAUACCCUGGUAGUCC
rnacentral:rRNA from 1 species